rnacentral:rRNA from 1 species
UACGGAGGGUGCGAGCGUUGUCCGGAAUCACUGGGCGUAAAGGGCGCGUAGGCGGCCGUGUAAGUCACUUGUGAAAUCCCGGGGCUCAACUCCGGGGCUGCAGGUGAGACUGCGUGGCUAGAGCACGGUAGAGGCGAGUGGAACUCCUGGUGUAGCGGUGGAAUGCGCAGAUAUCAGGAAGAACACCAACGGCGAAGGCAGCUCGCUGGGACGGUACUGACGCUGAGACGCGAAAGCGUGGGGAGCGAACAGG